rnacentral:rRNA from 1 species
AGAGUUUGAUCCUGGCUCAGAUUGAACGCUGGCGGCAUGCUUUACACAUGCAAGUCGAACGGCAGCACGGGGGCAACCCUGGUGGCGAGUGGCAGACGGGUGAGUAACGCGUGGGAACGUACCUUUCGCUUCGGAAUAUUCCCGGGAAACUGGGAGCAAUGCCGAAUACGCCGUAUUGGGAAAGAUUUAUCGGCGAAAGAUCGGCCCGCGUUAGAUUAGCUAGUUGGCGGUGUAAUGGACCACCAAGGCUACGAUCUAUAGCUGGUCUGAGAGGAUGAUCAGCCACACUGGGACUGAGACACGGCCCAGACUCCUACGGGAGGCAGCAGUGGGGAAUCUUGGACAAUGGGCGCAAGCCUGAUCCAGCCAUGCCGCGUGAGUGAAGAAGGCCUUAGGGUUGUAAAACUCUUUCGCCGGUGAAGAUAAUGACGGUAACCGGAGAAGAAGCCCCGGCUAACUUCGUGCCAGCAGCCGCGGUAAUACGUAGGGUGCGAGCGUUAAUCGGAAUUACUGGGCGUAAAGCGUGCGCAGGCGGUUCGAGAAGUCAGCUGUGAAAGCCCCGGGCUUAACCUGGGAAUGGCGGUUGAAACUCUCGGACUAGAAUCUGGCAGAGGGGGGUGGAAUUCCACGUGUAGCAGUGAAAUGCGUAGAGAUGUGGAGGAACACCGAUGGCGAAGGCAGCCCCCUGGGCUGAGAUUGACGCUCAGGCACGAAAGCGUGGGGAGCAAACAGGAUUAGAUACCCUGGUAGUCCACGCCCUAAACGAUGUCAACUAGGUGUCGGGAGCGCAAGUUCUUGGUACCGCAGCUAACGCGUGAAGUUGACCGCCUGGGGAGUACGGUCGCAAGAUUAAAACUCAAAGGAAUUGACGG